rnacentral:misc_RNA from 1 species
UCCCGGUUAACCCGGGCAGUCUCACUAGAGUCCCCAUCCGAAAUGCUGGUAACUAAUGAUAAGGGUUGCGCUCGUUGCGGGACUUAACCCAACACCUCACGGCACGAGCUGACGACAGCCAUGCAGCACCUGUUCAGCGGUCCGAAGAAGGUUACAUCUCUGUAACUGUCCACUGAAUGUCAAACCUGGGUAAGGUUCUUCGCGUUGCAUCGAAUUAAACCACAUGCUCCACUGCUUGUGCGAGCCCCCGUCAAUUCUUUUGAGUUUCACCCUUGCGAGUGUACUCCUCAGGCGGUAUACUUAACACGUUAGCUACGGCACAGUUGGGGUUGAGACCAACUACACCAAGUAUACAUCGUUUACAGCAAGGACUAC